rnacentral:rRNA from 1 species
AAAGGUAAGCUACUAAGAGCGAAUGGUGGAUGCCUUGACUGGUAAAGGCGAUGAAGGACGUACUAGACUGCGAUAAGCUACGGGGAGCUGUCAAGAAGCUUUGAUCCGUAGAUUUCCGAAUGGGGCAACCCAAUGUAUAGAGAUAUACAUUACCUAUAUAGGAGCGAACGAGGGGAAUUGAAACAUCUUAGUACCCUCAGGAAAAGAAAUCAAUAGAGAUUGCGUCAGUAGCGGCGAGCGAAAGCGCAAGAGGGCAAACCCAGUGCUUGCACUGGGGGUUGUAGGACUGCAAUGUGCAAGAGCUGAGUUUAGCAGAACAUUCUGGAAAGUAUAGCCAUAGAGGGUGAUAGUCCCGUAUGCGAAAAACAAAGCUUAGCUAGCAGUAUCCUGAGUAGGGCGGGACACGAGGAAUCCUGUCUGAAUCUGGGUCGACCACGAUCCAACCCUAAAUACUAAUACCAGAUCGAUAGUGCACAAGUACCGUGAGGGAAAGGUGAAAAGAACUGAGGUGAUCAGAGUGAAAUAGAACCUGAAACCAUUUGCUUACAAUCAUUCAGAGCACUAUGUAGCAAUACAGUGUGAUGGACUGCCUUUUGCAUAAUGAGC